rnacentral:tRNA from 1 species
CCCCCGUAGCUUAACGCAAAGCGCCGGUCUUGUAAUCCGGAAAAGGAGGUUAAAGUCCUCCCGGGAGCC